AUGGCCGUGCUUCGUACCGGAGAGGACCAUUUCCGGGUCGUCUUGGUAGGCCACGACGACCAUCACACGCAAGCGCUCGCCUGCGUUUACUCAUCGCAGACCCGUCAAUGGGGCAGUGUCAUCUCCGCACCAAUUCCACCCGUUGUUUCUAUAGUGACCGAAAUUCCAGGUGUCCUGGUUGGGGAUUCCAUUUACUGCCUCGCCGCGGUACAGCUCCUGGCCAAUAUGUAUGGCCAGGGGAAUCACAGCCUCUGGGUGAUGCGGGCACAGGAUGGUGGCCUUGGAUUACUCUUCCUGUGGGGCACCGAUGCACAACUAUGGAAGAGGACCAAGACAGAUGGUGAUGGUGCUGCUAAUUCAUGGACGAUCACAAAGGCUAUUCAAAUGGACAAGCUACUUUCAGUGAACACAGAGGAGGAGAAAAGGAGCCUGUCGAUAGAAGGGCUUGUUGAGGACCGUAAUGUGGUGUUCUUCAGAACAGCAAUCAGUCACUUUAUGGUGCAUCUUGAGUCACUCUGGUCAUUGAGGUGCAAGGAACUUUCUGAAACCAACAUCAUACAUGUACAAGAAUCUAAGUCAUUUCCUAUAUACAUAACUGGUUGA
rnacentral:rRNA from 1 species